GCAGGAUAUGUCCCGGGGCCACGCAGGACCCCCCUCCCUCUCCGUCCGCUUCUUCCGCGAUCAGAGGAGAGAGGGCCACGCGCGGGACACGCACGACCCUCCCGACUGCUGCCUGCUCGACAGAGGGGAGUUUCCCUGGCCGCCCCCGAAAAGCUUUUGCCAUCUAGAAAUGGACUCGCAGGCUCGUCUCUUUAGGCUGGAAAACCUCUCACCGCACUUGCGUGAGAGCAAGUCCCGCUGAAGUCAGGGGGAACUUACUUACGAGAGAGAGAGGAGAGAGGACCCUGAAACACACGCCACCUAUCUUUGUGGGGAGGGAUAAUUGAAGAGCGCCAAACGUGAGCAUCAUGUG